rnacentral:rRNA from 1 species
GCGGCGGACGGGUGAGUAACGCGUGGGAACGUGCCCUUUGGUACGGGAUAACUGAGGGAAACUUCAGCUAAUACCGUAUGUGCCNUACGGGGGAAAGAUUUAUCGCCAUUGGAGCGGCCCGCGUUGGAUUAGGUAGUUGGUGAGGUAAAGGCUCACCAAGCCUACGAUCCAUAGCUGGUCUGAGAGGAUGAUCAGCCACACUGGGACUGAGACACGGCCCAGACUCCUACGGGAGGCAGCAGUAGGGAAUCUUGCGCAAUGGGCGAAAGCCUGACGCAGCCAUGCCGCGUGAAUGAUGAAGGUCUUAGGAUUGUAAAAUUCUUUCACCGGGGAAGAUAAUGACGGUACCCGGAGAAGAAGCCCCGGCUAACUUCGUGCCAGCAGCCGCGGUAAUACGAAGGGGGCUAGCGUUGCUCGGAAUUACUGGGCGUAAAGGGCGCGUAGGCGGACAGUUUAGUCAGAGGUGAAAGCCCAGGGCUCAACCUUGGAAUUGCCUUUGAUACUGGCUGUCUUGAGUUCGGGAGAGGUGAGUGGAAUGCCGAGUGUAGAGGUGAAAUUCGUAGAUAUUCGGCGGAACACCAGUGGCGAAGGCGACUCACUGGCCCGAUACUGACGCUGAGG